UUAAGAUGAGAGUUUGAUCCUGGCUCAGGACGAACGCUGGCGGCGUGCCUAAUACAUGCAAGUCGA
rnacentral:rRNA from 1 species